rnacentral:rRNA from 1 species
AUGAGCGUAUCCUAAACCCAUGGGUGAGGACCCAUUGGAGGGCAAGUCUGGUGCCAGCAGCCGCGGUAAUUCCAGCUCCAAUAGCGUAUAUUAAAGUUGCUGCAGUUAAAAAGCUCGUAGUUGGAUCUCGGGAGUGGGCUGGCGGUCCGCCGCGAGGCGAGCCACCGCCUGUCCCAGACCCUGCCUCCCCGGUGCCCCCCGGAUGCCCUUGGCUGGGUGUCCGGUCCUUUCAGGGGUC